AGACUCUGUGCGCGUGCAUAUCAAUAAGCGGAGGAAAAGAAACUAACAAGGAUUCCCUAGUAACGGCGAGUGAAGCGGGAAGAGCUCAAAUUUGAAAUCUUAAAGGUUCUACCUUGACGAAUUGUAGUUUAAAGAAGUGGUUUCUGUUGGAGUUUCGGUAAAAGUUCUUUGGAAUAGGACAUCAUAGAGGGUGAGAAUCCCGUAUUUGACCGUUACUUUCCAGCUGUGUGAUACACUUUCAAAGAGUCGGAUUGUUUGGGAAUGCAGUCCAAGAUGGGUGGUAAAUUUCAUCUAAAGCUAAAUAUUGGCGAGAGACCGAUAGCGAACAAGUACCGUGAGGGAAAGAUGAAAAGAACUUUGAAAAGAGAGUUAAACAGUACGUGAAAUUGUCAAAAGGGAAGCGUUUGACACCAGUGUUGUUUAGUUGAAAAUCAAUUCAAUAGUUUUUGAUUUUGAGUAGUAUUGACUUCAUCAGCUUGCUGCUUUCUUUUCCGAAAUUAUUGAAUGCACUUUUCAGUUAACAAGUCAACAUCAAUUUCUUUUGUUGUAAAAGGGUAAGAGGAAGGUGGCUUACGCUUCGGCGUAAGUGUUUAUAGCCUUUUACCUCUGCAAUCGGAGAGAUUAAGGACAGCAGCGUAGACUCCUUCGGGGGUUAGAUACACCUUGUGCUAAGCUAUAGCCUUGUAUAGACAACUUGUUGACUAUGCUCAGUCAUGUAGCUUACUCGCUUGUGCUAUUUUACCUACGCUUAGGAUGUUGACAGCAGUAUAGACUGU
rnacentral:rRNA from 1 species